GAUUCUUCGGAUGAAGGUCUGGUGACUGAGUGGCGGACGGGUGAGUAACGCGUGGGUAACCUGCCCUGUACAGGGGGAUAACAGUUGGAAACGGCUGCUAAUACCGCAUAAGCGCACGAGAGGACAUCCUCUUGUGUGAAAAACUCCGGUGGUAUGAGAUGGACCCGCGUCUGAUUAGGUAGUUGGUGGGGUAACGGCCUACCAAGCCAACGAUCAGUAGCCGACCUGAGAGGGUGACCGGCCACAUUGGGACUGAGACACGGCCCAAACUCCUACGGGAGGCAGCAGUGGGGAAUAUUGCACAAUGGGGGAAACCCUGAUGCAGCGACGCCGCGUGAGCGAAGAAGUAUUUCGGUAUGUAAAGCUCUAUCAGCAGGGAAGAAAAUGACGGUACCUGACUAAGAAGCACCGGCUAAAUACGUGCCAGCAGCCGCGGUAAUACGUAUGGUGCAAGCGUUAUCCGGAUUUACUGGGUGUAAAGGGAGCGUAGACGGCUGUGUAAGUCUGAAGUGAAAGCCCGGGGCUCAACCCCGGGACUGCUUUGGAAACUAUGCAGCUAGAGUGUCGGAGAGGUAAGUGGAAUUCCCAGUGUAGCGGUGAAAUGCGUAGAUAUUGGGAGGAACACCAGUGGCGAAGG
rnacentral:rRNA from 1 species